CCUGUGAAGCAAGGGCUGUCAGGGUGACCAGCUAGGCUGAAGCUGAGGGGAGGGGUGGCCUUGGCUGGAUUUGGUUUGGUGGAGAAAAGGCUUGGUUGAGUGCAGAGCGGGUAAUAACCCAAGUCUUGAGCCAAGUAGUUCUCUGCCCACCGGACUUGGCACUGUACAAAUACCUAAGAAAAACUUGCAGAAAGAACAAAGGCUGUAUUGUAGCUCUCCUGUGUGCUGGCCUUCCCUUCAGCCGUGCAUGGAACUCUGGGGACCUGACCUCUGCACAGCCAGAUCCAAAACAUGACCAAGGGAAGCCCAGGAUGGAAGACACGCAUGGCUCUAGAAGUUCCUGUGGGUGGUCCGGGACAGCUUCUAGUGAGCUUGGCAAAGUCCGCUCAGGAAGAAGAGUCUGAUUGGUGGGACGAGGGGGUUUUUCUCAAAUGACGUCACUUCCUUGUGGGCUGACCGCCCAUAUGGGAAGCGAGUUGCCAGGUGUGUUGAGGAUCGCAGGAAGGAACAGGACGGCGGGAACUGGACCAGGGUCAUCUGUGAGCUCAGCACGCACCUGCUCCUCCUGGAGACUUCGGAUGAUCUUCCUGACCUUGAACAUAACUCUCAGAACCACACAUCCCAAAGCUCCAGUAGAGGUCAUCUAGAAUGGAGGUGACCAGGCAGUAUCUAGCCUCCCUGGACCCUUUUGUCCAACCUGCCACGGUAUCAGCGUUCCCAGCAGCCUCGUGUCCUGCACAUAAGCUGUUAAGUGGCCAUCUGUGCACUGAUAGAAAAGACUGAACAAGACGCAUUUAGCCAGACAGGGACCUGUGCACAGCAGAAUUCCCAGAGUGUCUGCUGGGACUUGAGGACAUCUACCCUCAUGGACUGAACCAGAACCCCAGUCUUCCAUUGUGAGGCAGCCAUGUAUUGGACUAGCCUCUAAGCCUAAUAAAUCUCAUGUA
rnacentral:lncRNA from 1 species